rnacentral:misc_RNA from 1 species
GAUGAAGAACGUAGCGAACUGCGAUAAGUAAUGUGAAUUGCAGAAUUCAGUGAAUCAUCGAAUCUUUGAACGCACAUUGCGCCCGCCAGUAUUCUGGCGGGCAUGCCUGUCCGAGCGUCAUUUCAACCCUCGGGCCCCCCUCUGCGGGCGGCCCGGCGUUGGGGCUCAGGCGCCGUCUCUGCUCGGCGCCUGUCCCCUAAAUGCAGUGGCGGCCUCGCCGCUGCCUCCUCCGCGUAGUAGCACAAACCUCGCGGCUGGAAGGCGGCGCGGCCACGCCGUAAAACCCCCCAACUUUACCAAGGUUGACCUCGGAUCAGGUAGGAAUACCCGCUGAACUUAAGCAUAUCAAUAAGCGGAGGA